UACAGAGGUCUCAAGCGUUGUUCGGAUUCAUUGGGCGUAAAGGGUGCGUAGGUGGCGUCGUAAGUCGGGUGUGAAAUUUCGGAGCUUAACUCCGAAACUGCAUUCGAUACUGCGGUGCUUGAGGACUGGAGAGGAGACUGGAAUUUACGGUGUAGCAGUGGAAUGCGUAGAGAUCGUAAGGAAGACCAGUGGCGAAGGCGGGUCUCUGGACAGUUCCUGACACUGAGGCACGAAGGCCAGGGGAGCAUACGGG
rnacentral:rRNA from 1 species